GCCCAAUUACCAUACUUUUUCCCCUUUAAGGAGCCGUUGUUCCACUCUCUCUUUCAUUACCGCACUUGACCCUGUAAUUAUCUAACCUUAACCACUUAAUUAUCAUUAAACAUCCGAGGUUAAUUAAGGGAAUUUGCAUGCGAGUGCAACCCACCACUUUCCAAAAUCUAACAAGUGGGUUCCACUCUUUUACAGCUAUAAAUACCAAUCCUUUAUUUACACCGUAACCUCCCUGCCCCUCUCUCUCAAAAGCCACUCCACUCCAGCUGCUUUCACUUUUCUCGAUUUGCACUUCACUUCUUCUUCGUCCGCCCUUUCUAGCAAUCAAAGCAUACGCAAAAGAAGCCUCAAACUCUGAGAACUUCAGUUUCUUUUCACCCUCCGGAGACUGUAAGUGCAGUGACUUACAGGAACCCUGCAGAUUUUUUUUUUUUUUUGGCUCACACAAUGGUCGACGUUGACCGGAGGAUGACCGGUCUCAAUCCGGCUCAUAUAGCUGGCCUUCGCCGUCUUUCUGCCCGAGCUGCUGCUCCUUCAACAGCUUCUUCUCUUCCUGUCCGUAACGGUCUUGUCUCUUUCUCUUCUCUGGCUGACAAAGUUAUAACCCAUUUACGUAACUCAGGUAUCCAAGUUCAGCCGGGUCUUUCUGACGCUGAGUUCGCUCGGGCUGAAGCAGAGUUUGGCUUCGCUUUCCCUCCCGAUCUUCGCGCCGUACUCUCCGCUGGUUUGCCUGUUGGUCCUGGCUUCCCGGAUUGGCGCUCAGGCGGUGCUCGCCUCCAUCUCCGUGCCUCGCUUGAUCUUCCUAUCGCUGCUAUCUCAUUUCAAAUCGCACGCAACACUCUCUGGUCCAAGUCAUGGGGUCCCAGACCAUCCGACCCGGAAAAGGCAUUGAGGGUGGCGAGAAAUGC
rnacentral:misc_RNA from 1 species